UGUUUUCCAAAGAUUAAAAAGUUGCUAUCGUCAGCAAGCAUUAUAGCUGAAAUCUUUUUUGAUGCCAUACAGAGAUUGUUUACAUAGAUUGAGAAAAUCAAAGACCAAAGUAUUGAGGUACACUCUUGAGAUACACCACACUCUAUUUAAAACAUAUUAGAGAGUUUAUAAAAGAGAGUUUAAAAAAUAUUUGGUUCAGGUCCUUGUAAAUAAUGGUGGUACGAAUGUAACAAAUUUUGUAAGAAGGAACAUGAAGUAUUUAUUUUCUUAUAAACUGGCACGAAAAUAUAACCUAACUGGCCAGAAAAAUA